GUCUCUGUAGCGCAAUAGAUAGCGCGUUGAACGUCUAAUCCGAUGAUCGUGGGUUGGAAUCCCACCAUGGAUG